CGCAUCUGUGCAUGCAGCAUAUCAAUAAGCGGAGGAAAAGUAAAUGCUGUAUACCUACGCUUAGGAUGUUGAAGAUGUAGCACAUCAUACACGCAUGACACCCUGCAUAUCAAUAAGCGGAGGAAAAGAAACUAACAAGGAUUCCCCUAGUAACGGCGAGUGAAGCGGGAAGAGCUCAAAUUUGAAAUCUUAAAGGGUUUCCCUUACGAAUUGUAGUUUAAAGAAGUGUUUUCUGUUGAGGUUUUGGUAAAAGUUCUUUGGAAUAGGACAUCAUAGAGGGUGAGAAUCCCGUAUUUGACCUUUACUUUCAACUUUGUGAUACACUUUCAAAGAGUCGGAUUGUUUGGGAAUGCAGUCCAAAAUGGGUGGUAAAUUUCAUCUAAAGCUAAGUAUUGGCGAGAGACCGAUAGCGAACAAGUACCGUGAGGGAAAGAUGAAAAGAACUUUGAAAAGAGAGUUAAACAGUACGUGAAAUUGUCAAAAGGGAAGCGUUUGACACCAGUGUUGUUUUUCUGAAAAUCAAUUAAAGAACUGUUUAUGCUAAGUUGUUUAGACUUUAUCAGCUAACUGUUUAGUUUUGAGCUUUUCUUUAAUGCACUUUUCAGUUAACAAGUCAACAUCAAUUUCUUUUGCUGUAAAAAAGCUUGAGGAAGGUGGCUUGAGAUUCGUCUUAAGUGUUUAUAGCCUCUUGCCUAUGCAGUCGGAGAGAUUGAGGUCUGCAGCGUAGAUCCUUCGGGGCUAAAUGCAUUUGUGCUAAGUUAUAACAUUUUAUAGACAACUUGUUGACUAUGAUUUGUCUUGUAGCUUACUCGCUUAUGUUAUUUUACCUACGCUUAGGAUGUUGACACACGCGCGUGCUCGACUCUAUACAUGACUCUGUGCAUAUCAAUAAGCGGAGGAAAAGCGCAUUAAAGAUCCAGAUACCUACGCUUAGGAUGUUGAAGAUGUAGCACAUCAUACACGCAUGACACACUGCAUAUCAAUAAGCGGAGGAAAAGGAGUAUACCUACGCUUAGGAUGUUGAGCGCAUGUCUCUCUCU
rnacentral:rRNA from 1 species